CCAAUUGCCCACGCAUUAACAAAAACCUGUGCUCCUUUUGGAACUAUGAAGCCCGCAAUUUCUACGUCGGCUAAAGCUUUACGAGGAAGUAACAAGGGAACUGCUGGGUGCAGCCUCAAGGUUUCUUUGACUACUGCUUGUAGAUAAGGUAACCGAGUGAUGUCUGAUUCCUCAAUUGUUUUGCCUUUACCAAUCGUUUGUUCUAACUCUAAUCUUGCUUUUGAUAAAGCAUCCGGACUGCGGAGUAGCUCCGCCAUCGCCCAUUCCAGUGUGCUUGAAGUGGUGUCAGUCCCAGCAACAAACAAAUCCUGUUAUAUAAACCCCUGUUAAAUCACUUGAAAUUUGUGCAAGCAAAAAGGAGGAAAGAGAAAUAAAGAAAUAUU
rnacentral:lncRNA from 1 species